rnacentral:rRNA from 1 species
AGGAGCAUAGCUGGGUAGCCAAGUGCGGACGGGAUAAGCGCUGAAAGCAUCUAAGCGUGAAGCCCCCCUCAAGAUGAGAUUUCCCAAUUAGUAAGACCCCUGAAAGACGAUCAGGUUGAUAGGUUCGAGGUGGAAGCGCAGCAAUGUGUGGAGCUGACGAAUACUAAUCGGUCGAGGGCUUAUCCUA